GCCCCAGCGGGUUCCCCGGCCUCCGGAGCCGUGUGCGCAGGUUCGAAUCCUGCCGGGGGCA
rnacentral:tRNA from 1 species